rnacentral:rRNA from 1 species
UACGAAGGGGGCUAGCGUUGCUCGGAAUCACUGGGCGUAAAGGGUGCGUAGGCGGGUCUUUAAGUCAGGGGUGAAAUCCUGGAGCUCAACUCCAGAACUGCCUUUGAUACUGAAGAUCUUGAGUCCGGGAGAGGUGAGUGGAACUGCGAGUGUAGAGGUGAAAUUCGUAGAUAUUCGCAAGAACACCAGUGGCGAAGGCGGCUCACUGGCCCGUAACUGACGCUGAGGCACGAAAGCGUGGGGAGCAAACAGG